GGGAAAAGGGGUUGGUGGGAAAAUUAUAUUUUGUUACAAUUUUACAUGCCAUAAUUGAGUCCUUGGGUCCACAGGUGACACCUUCAUGUUACUUGCAGCACAAAACCCUCUAGUACUCCAGGACACAUCCAGCCACCAUACAGCAUUUUUAGUGACCUCAUGGGAACUCAUUGGCUUCUAGCCCCAAACCCAGAGGUUAGAGUUAAUUUUUAAGUGCUCAUCUUUAACUCAAGCGUGAAGCUCUAAAAGCAUUAGAUAGUAAUGCUUGAAAACAUCUAAAUUCCUUUAGGCUCUAACCAUGCUUGAACUUCUUGUUUUUUUCAGAAAAUAGCUGAGAUGGUGGUGGUUAGAACACAGAAAGACCAAGAUUAUUAGAUAAAAAUUAUCACAUAGGCCUGGGCUCGAGGCACAUAUAGAUCAAUUUAUAGACAAUUGAUCUUUCUUUUGUCUUAGAAUGCUUUUCCAUAAAGAGUCUUUAUGUGACCUUCCUUUUGCACAUGUGCGAGCUCAUAAAGGACUUUUGUUUAAACUUUUUAUUAUUUUAAAAUACAGAGAGGGGGAAAAAAUUGCUAUAUCCCCAAAUGAAAAGAAUUUGAAAUAGUGCCUUUGUGUAUGAACUUCUAGGUGAUGAUAUCAAUUUUCCCUUUGCGGGAAGAGACGCCAUACUUAUUUUUCAUCAAGAGGAAUGGUUACCAGGCCACAGGAGUGAGGUGCUGGCCGCAAGACCUGGGAGGUAUGAGCAGAUCCGAGGCCGGGGCUCUGUUCGAAGAGCUUUGCUUGUUUCUUGUUUUCCAGACCGCAUGGCCUGUCAUUCCGAAGAGCAUUUGUGGACGUGCUCUGUUUUAAUGCCUCACCGUCUGUAAAGAAUGAGCUCAGUUCCCAGUGAAAUUUUCCAGGUUCAUAUUUCGGAAGUGUCAGGGGGUAGAGAGAGCCCGACAUGAAAAACUGCAGACUGAAUGUCUUCUGAGUCCUGGUACAAGCAGGGAAGCUCAGUGAAGCUUGAGUCAAGGCUGUCAGGACCGAGUGACGGGAUGGAAGACAAGCUGAAGGUGCAGCACGCCUGGGCGCGAUCAUUGCUUUCCCCUUACUAAAGCAUAGUGCUCUCUGCUAUUUGGAGAGAGCAAUUUAGGUUUAUAUUAAGGAGUGAAUAAAUAGGCUGCAGUGAUGAAAUCUCAUUUGGAGUGAAUGCAGAUUGUGUAUGCUAAUGACCCUGUGCAGUACCUUGCAUUCUAACGCUCAGAAGCAAAGCACAUUGGAACCCUGCUCCUCUCCCGUCUCCCGUGCUCAUCCACUAGACAUCUGAGAACAACUUAGGCAGUGGGGAAAAGGUUAUUCCUCUUUUACUGUCUCUCAGCAUUGCACCUUGCUUUAUAGAGCUUUAAAGCACUUGACAAGCCUUCAAGUAAUUCCAGGUGAUGGAUUUUCCCUCUAGAGAGCCUGAAGAGAUGGUUUUACAUAGAUGCACACACGAAUUCAGUCACAACCUGAAUGUUUCGCUGUCUUGCAUCAUUUGACAUCGCCAGAAUAUCCUUUGGUUCCUUCUGCAGUUCACGUCCUCAUUUUUCUUCUUGCAGUUUGAGAUGCUCAAAGGCAAGAUGUCAGAAAGUUUUAGUCUCAGCUGAGCCACUGUGUGACUCUGGCCAAAUCGCUUGGUAGGAGUGGGACCCAAUUUCCUGGUUAAUUGAGGAGGCUGUGCUGAAGGCUCGUGAAGGUCCCCUCCAGCUCCCAUGCUGUAAUCCUCCUGGGGUUCCUGUGUGCCUGGAUUGGGCAGUGUCAGGUGUGGCUGCAAGGGCAGUGCUAUCUUGAAAAGGUCCUUCUGCCUGGCCAGCUUUUCUACACUGUAGGAUGAAGCCUGGCCCCAGAUUUGCUCAGAACUGCCCAGACAGAGAAGCAUAGAAAACCUCAGAGCAUGCUGUGAUUCUUUUUCCCUAGCUGGUGACGAAAGGCGAGGUCACAAGAGCUUGUCCCUUUUCCUGAGAUCAGAGGGAAAACUCUCAGGCAGGGCUGGGAAUGGAGCAGACACAGAACAGGUCCCAAGAAAGGAACAGAAGGAGAUGCAUAAGCAGUCAGGCCACGAACAGGAGCCCCCGAUGGGUGGGGAGGAGGAGGGAUGCUCUCCUCUACCUCUGCCCAUGGGGAGGAGUUAGGUCAGUGGGACUUGGAGGCAGUGGCAGGAUACCCUCUCCUGAACUGUCAGGGGACAUUGGGCUGAGGGUCCCCUUUGCUCUUGUUCAUUGCUUUGGCUCAAGUGUCCUGAAGGUAUUGUGUGGUGCUGCCAUGGGUCCCCAGCUGCAUCCUGCGGGGCCCUGCUGGCUCCCCUUUUACCCCAACUCCUGGCACCUCUCCAUCAGAAGAGCCCUCCUUUCAUGCUCUGAUACUUUAAGAUUAUGUCAAAGAUUUAUUUUUAAGAAAGGUUCUGUGCGUUUAAAUUUUUUGAAGACCAUUGGCAAGUGGUGGAGGAGCUCAAAUUCAAAGCAGUGUGACCUUGGACAAGUCAUCCCUUUCCAUGAUCCUCAUAUUUCUUACCUGGAAACAGGUUAAUCAUAUUGCUAUACUUUGGAUCCAGAAUGCCUCUCCAAGGCUCAUGUGUUGAAGGCUUGGUCCUCAAUGCAGCAGUGUUAAGAAGUGGGGCUUGGGGAAGGUGAUUGGAUCAUGAGGGUUAAUCUAUUGAUGGAUCCAUAACUGAAUGUACUGUUUGGAGGUGGUAGAAACUGUAGGAGAUUAGGCCUACUUAGCGGAACUGUAUUACUGGGACUAUGCUUCCAAGGGGAUAUUUUGCUUCUGGCACCUUCCUCUCUCUAUCUCUUUACUUCCUGGCCACCGUGAAGUGAGCAAAGUUGCCCCUCCACUCCCUUCUGCCAUCAUGUUCCACUCACUUCAGGCCCAGAAACAAUGGAGCCAGCCAACUAUGG
ensembl:lncRNA